CCAGUGUCCGGCCGCGGGCCGGCCUUAGUGACUGGGGGCGGCGGGCCCGGGGCCGCGGGCGCGGGGCGGGCGGCGGGCGCGGGCUGCCUUCGUCGGGUCCCGAGCCCGCCUGGAGCGAGCAGCUGCCCGCGAGCCGCCGCGGAGCCUCCUCGCCCGCUCCCGCCGGCGAGCAAGAUGAUGUGCGAGGUGAUGCCGACCAUCAGUGAAGCGGAGGGCCCCCCAGGAGGGGGUGGGAGCCAUGGGUCCGGCUCCCCUUCGCAGCCGGAUGCCGAUUCACAUUUCGAGCAGUUGAUGGUGUCCAUGCUGGAAGAGAGGGACCGUCUCCUGGACACGCUGAGAGAGACUCAAGAAACGCUGGCGUUAACCCAGGGCAAGUUACACGAGGUUGGUCACGAGAGAGACUCCUUGCAGAGGCAGCUCAAUACGGCGCUUCCACAGGAGUUUGCAGCACUUACUAAAGAACUGAACGUGUGCAGGGAACAGCUGCUUGAGAGGGAAGAGGAGAUCGCUGAGCUGAAAGCAGAGAGGAACAACACCAGGCUGCUGCUGGAGCAUCUGGAGUGCCUGGUCUCCCGGCACGAGCGGUCCCUCAGGAUGACGGUGGUCAAGAGGCAGGCGCAGUCCCCAGCCGGCGUGUCCAGCGAGGUGGAGGUUCUCAAAGCACUGAAGUCAUUAUUUGAGCACCACAAGGCCCUGGACGAGAAGGUGAGGGAGCGAUUACGAGUAGCACUUGAAAGGUGUAGUUUGUUAGAAGAAGAAUUAGGUGCCACACACAAAGAGCUAAUGAUUCUUAAAGAACAGAAUAACCAGAAGAAAACACUUACGGACGGGGUGCUUGAUGAAAACCACGAGCAGGAAGACACGCCGAGCGCCAAUGGGAAGCGGUCUUCCGACGGUUCUCUGAGCCACGAGGAGGACCUGGCCAAAGUGGUGGAGCUCCAGGAGGUCAUAGACAAGCAGGCGAGGGAGCAGACCCAGAUGAAGGAGCGCCUGGCAGCCCUCUCUGCGCGUGUGACCGAGCUGGAGGGGGACCUGGACACGGCCAGGAAGGACCUCAUCAAGUCCGAGGAGGCGAACACCAGGCUGCAGCGGGACGUCCGCGAGGCCAUGGCCCAGAAGGAAGACAUGGAGGAGAGAAUCACUACUCUGGAGAAACGCUACCUCGCCGCACAGCGGGAAGCCACCUCUGUGCACGACCUCAACGAUAAACUUGAAAAUGAAAUUGCAAAUAAGGAUUCUAUGCAUCGACAGACGGAGGAUAAGAACCGCCAGUUGCAAGAGCGCCUGGAGCUGGCGGAGCAGAAGCUGCAGCAGACCCUGCGCAAGGCGGAGACGCUGCCCGAGGUGGAGGCCGAGCUGGCGCAGCGCGUGGCCGCACUCUCUAAGGCCGAGGAGAGACACGGCAACAUCGAGGAGCGACUCCGCCAGAUGGAGGCGCAGCUGGAGGAGAAGAGCCAGGAGCUGCAGCGGGCGAGGCAGAGAGAGAAAAUGAAUGAAGAACACAACAAGCGCUUAUCCGACACUGUGGACAAGCUGCUUUCAGAAUCCAACGAGAGGCUCCAGCUUCACCUUAAGGAGAGGAUGGCCGCCCUGGAGGACAAGAAUUCUCUCAUACGUGAAGUGGAAAAUGCAAAAAAGCAGCUGGAAGAAGCGCAGCAUGAUAAGGAUCAGCUGAUGCUAAAACUGGAAGCGCUGCGAGCUGAGCUGGACCAGACGAGGCUGAGAGGGGCUCCCCUUCACCACGGCCGACCCCACUUGGGCAGCGUCCCAGACUUCCGGUUCCCGGCGGCAGACGGGCCCGAGGACUCCUACAGCAGCAGCGCGGUGUUGCGGCGCCCCCAGAAAGGCCGGCUGGCAGCUCUCCGCGACGAGCCUUCCAAGGUGCAGACUCUGAACGAGCAGGACUGGGAGCGCGCCCAGCAGGCCAGCGUGCUGGCAAACGUGGCCCAGGCGUUCGAGAGUGACGUCGACGUGUCCGACGGCGAGGACGACAGGGACGCUCUGUUCAGCUCGGCAGCCCUGCUGUCGCCCGGUGGGCAGGCCGAUGCCCAGACCCUGGCCAUGAUGCUGCAGGAGCAGCUGGACGCCAUCAAUAAAGAGAUCCGGCUGAUUCAAGAAGAGAAGGAGAACACGGAGCAACGGGCGGAAGAGAUUGAGAGCAGAGUGGGCAGUGGGAGUUUGGACAGUCUUGGUCGUUUUAGAUCAAUGAGCUCCAUCCCCCCCUAUCCUGCUUCCUCGAUCGCCGGCUCCUCGCCUCCCAACAGCGGGCGGUCCACCCCGCGAAGGAUGCCGCACAGUCCGGCGAGGGAGGUGGACAGACUAGGUAUCAUGACUCUGCCUAGCGAUUUAAGGAAACAUCGUAGAAAGCUGCCCGCUUCCCGAGAAGAGGUACGAGACGACAAGACGACCAUCAAAUGUGAAACCUCCCCCCCCGCCUCCCCGCGGUCCCUGCGGCUGGACCGGCUGCACAAGGGGGCACCGCACACCGUCAGCCACGAGGACAUCAGGGACGCACGGAACUCCACAGGCUCUCAGGACGGCCCCGUGAGCAAUCCCAGCAGCAGUAACAGCAGCCAGGACUCGCUCCACAAAGCCCCUAAGAAGAAAGGCAUCAAGUCCUCCAUCGGCCGCUUGUUUGGCAAGAAAGAAAAGGGCCGACCUGGACACCCCGGCAGGGAGUCCUUCGGGCAAGCUGGCGUUUCAGAGAUAGAAAACUCAUCUCAGGAUGCCUUGGGGCUCAGCAAAUUGGGAGGACAGGCUGAAAAAAAUCGUAAACUGCAAAAAAAGCACGAGCUGCUCGAGGACGCGCGGAGACAAGGCCUGCCUUUUGCCCAGUGGGACGGGCCGACGGUCGUCGUGUGGCUGGAGCUCUGGGUGGGGAUGCCCGCGUGGUAUGUGGCCGCCUGCCGGGCCAACGUGAAGAGCGGGGCCAUCAUGUCCGCGCUGUCGGACACCGAGAUCCAGCGGGAGAUCGGCAUCAGCAACCCCCUGCACAGGCUCAAGCUGCGGCUGGCCAUUCAGGAGAUCAUGUCCCUGACCAGCCCCUCGGCGCCCCCGACCUCGAGGACGACCCUGGCCUACGGGGACAUGAACCACGAGUGGAUCGGCAACGAGUGGCUGCCCAGCCUGGGCCUCCCGCAGUACCGCAGCUACUUCAUGGAGUGCCUGGUGGACGCGCGGAUGCUGGACCACCUGACCAAGAAGGACCUCCGCGGGCAGCUGAAGAUGGUCGACAGUUUCCACAGAAACAGUUUCCAGUGUGGAAUUAUGUGCCUGCGAAGGUUAAAUUAUGACCGAAAAGAACUGGAGAGAAGAAGAGAAGAAAGCCAGAAUGAACUAAAAGACGUGCUCGUCUGGAGCAACGACCGCGUCAUCCGCUGGAUCCUCUCCGUGGGCCUCAAGGAGUACGCCAACAACCUGCUCGAGAGCGGCGUGCACGGCGCGCUUAUGGCCUUGGACGAGACCUUCGACUUCAGCGCCCUGGCCCUCUUGUUACAGAUCCCCACGCAGAACACCCAGGCUCGUGCUGUCUUGGAAAGAGAGUUUAACAACCUUUUGGUCAUGGGGACUGACAGACGGUUUGAUGAGGACGACGACAAAAGCUUUAGGAGAGCACCCUCCUGGAGAAGGAAGUUCAGACCGAAGGACGUGCGUGGUGUGGCCGCCGGCUCCGCAGAGAUCCUCCCCGCGGACUUCCGGGCCACCUCCCCUCUGUCCUCACCCCCCCUGCAGCCAAAGAAGGCGCAGCUGGACGGUAGGUGGCGCGGCGCCGCCGCGGAUCGUCCUAACCCGGUGUGUGAGCGUGGCAUCCUAACACGGUGUGUGAGCGUGGCGCGGUCGCAGUGGUUUUCAAGUGCUUGUCUGGUUGAAUGUCAGCACCUUCCUCCAGCUGAUAAGCGCAGAGUCACGCGUUCUCAGCGCGUUAGCGCGACGCCCCCGCCUGUCCAGACGUGCGCGAGGCCGGCAGCGCUCAGAGGCCCCUCGGCCACACGGCCUCCACCUCGGACUCGUCUGCACCCGGGGAGGGCGACCGAGGCACCUUGGUGACUUCGUGACAGGGCGUCCACCCUCCCCAUCUUCCCUCCGUCCCUGCCGCUGUCUGUGCCUUUUGUGCCGCAAGGGGACGGGGAGAAGGGAGACGGCGGAGGCAGUGUCCCCGCCGUCGGGCCCGCCGCUGUCCUUCCCAGCCACGCGCUGCUUUUCCCUUUGACGACCCUCCUGCCAGGGGACCCCCGCUAGUUAGGGUUGGCCAGGGUCCCUGGCAGACCCCUCAGCUCUGCUGUGUCCCCACUCGCUCCGUGUCCCCUUCCGGAAAAGGGUUGCCUUGGCAGGGUCCUCUGGGCCAGCUGCGAGGGGCACAGAGGGCUCUGAGGAAAGCGCCUGCCGUGUGGGCGUAGCUGGGGUCACGCUGGCGCUCCUGUCUUCACUGACCGCCCGCCCCCGCUGUCUGCCAGGGCUGCACAGGCCGCGGGAGCUGUGGUUUAAGGUGCACGGCGGGGCCUCUGCCGUGUGCUGUCGUCAGCCCUCCCCGUCGGUAGGUUUACGCGUUGCUCUCGCCUGCCUCGUAAAAACCCGAGCGAAGGGCCUUUAGGAAUAUGCCUCGCGGAGCUGGAGGCUUGCAGGGAGGCUGAUGUACAGGGCAGCGCUUCUGUUAAAAAGCUGCCUCUCUGCUUUUCCCAGGCUCAUGGCAGGCAGGCCUUGAGAAAGUUUCUUCCCUCUGAGACUGAGUACUGGGUGAAAGAAGGCAGCUGAGGAGUUCCCGUCGUGGCGUAGUGGUUAACGAACCCGACUAGGAACCAUGAGGUUGCGGGUUCGGUCCCUGCCCUUGCUCAGUGGGUUAACGAUCCGGCGUUGCCGUGAGCUGUGGUGUAGGUUGCAGACGCGGCUCGGAUCCCGCGUUGCUGUGGCUCUGGCAUAGGCUGGUGGCUACAGCUCCGUUUCAACCCCUAGCCUGGGAACCUCCAUAUGCCGCGGGAGCGGCCCAAGAAAUAGCAACAACAACAACAAAAGACAAAAGACAAAAAAAAAAAAAAGAAGGCAGUUGAAACUGUAGCCACAGGAGGCUCUGCGCUUCCAGGAAAUCUGAGGAAGCGCUGCAGGCCGCUGUGGGGGCUGUGGGUCAGGCUCCGAAGGGGAGCGGGUGGAGAGGUGGACGGAGCGAGCCUGCGAGCCGGGGCGAGGUCUUCUCCCCCAGCACGGAGGCGUCAGAGGAGUUCCGGGCGGCAGAGUCAUUGCUUUAGAGGUGGCGCCGUUCUUGGCAAACACAUAGACACUGGACGUCCCGCUGCAGCGCCUCGCGGGCGGCUGCCUCUUCCACGGAAGCUCUGAAAUUGGUGCCUCAUGUAAAUGAUCUGCAGGAGUUCCCCUGUGGCUCAGCAGUUAGCAAAUCCUACCAGCAUCCAUGAGGACAUGGGUUUGAGCCCUGGCCUUGCUCAGGGGGUUAAGGAUCGGGUGUUGCUGUGAGCUGUGGUGUAGGUCGCAGACGCGGCUUGGAUCCUGCGUUGCUGUGGCUUGGCCUAGGCUGGCGGCUAUAGCUCCAGUUAGACCCCUAGCCUGGGAACCUCCAUAUGCUGCAGGUGCAGCCCUAAAAAAGACAAAUAAUAAUAAUUUCCACGUCUUUCAUAAUAAACUCAUGAUAUCUAAACUAAAAAAAAAAAAAAAAACCUGCAUCUCUUUGCCAGAGUUUGGUAAUAUGCUAGGAGUAUUUCUCUCCCGAGGAGCAUGUAGUUAAUUUUUCCUGAUUUUAACUGUAAUUUGGCCUUCAGCUUACUGAAGAAUAGUCUAAACGAGUGCUUUCUUAUUUUUCUCAUAGCUUCAUUGCCAGCUCCUCAACGCAAACUGCAUUUGCCUGUUAAAUGUUCACAUGAGAGUUUAGAUUAAAAUAAUCCUUGAGAGAGGUGUGGGACUCUAUUGCAUGGGAGAGGACUUUUCACCCUAAGGCAUAAGCGGUUAAAAUGGGUUGUUUUCACGGCUCUUUAAGGCAAAUAGCAGCAGGGCUGUGGGGCCCUUAGAAGCAGAAGGAUUUAUAAAGAUGAUCCGUUUCCAUCAGCAGCCUUAACGUCCUUUCUAGAAGCAGGGCAGAGUAUUGAUAAGAGGUGUCCGGUGGACCGGUGAGGAAACCAAAAACGUAGACUCAGGAGCCGCGAGUUUCUGCUGGGCGCUUAGGGAGGAAAUUUCUUGUUCCCCUUGAACCGGGUCGGGGUGCGGGGCUCACCUGCUGGGCCAGGCAGCCUGGUUCCCGACAGGAAAAACCGUCAGUUGAGAUGAUGCCGGCGGGAACUGAGACAGGGCUUCCUCUUUGCUAGACCGCCCCCCUCUGGCCACCCUGCACCGGCCCCAUGGGGAGUGUCACCAGGGCCCCGGCAGGGAGUCCCGGUGGCUCCCAGGGCCGAGUAGGCCCAGCCUCUUCCAUCACUGUCACCGCCCGGGGUCGCUGCUCUCUCCUCUCACCCGUUCUGCCAGGUGCCGUAUUUAGGGCCCAAAGGAGGUCCAGUCGCCCCGUAAAUCCAGAGGGCUGAAGGCAAAAUGACAUUGCCGCGCCAGGUAGCUGUCAUCAGGAAGUGGCUCUGUGUCCCCAGGCGUGCCAGCGCUGUUUUAGCCCGGACCCCCGGGCCUCCCAGGGCUGGUGGGGCGAGGGGGACCCCCACGUGCAGGCGCUGAGCUUCACUUUCUCUGGCUCGCCCGCCCUCUGGAAGUUUCCCCGGAACCUCAGGAGGUGCAGGCGCCGUGUGGGUGUGUGUGUGAGCACCUGCGCCCGUGUGACGUUUUACGACUAACUGCACGCUGUGUUUGCACGCCUCCCUCGCGGCGCGGCGGUCUGACAGGCGGCGUGUCGGGAUCGCAGAGGCUGGAUUCUGCCACAGUCAGGACUUACUCCUGCUGAAGCCCCGCCGGCUACCCCCACUACUUCUACCGCUGAGGCGCAGCCGUGGCCCAGCAGAGACCCUACCCCGAUGGAAUCGUCCAUCUGUUCAUACUUGUUAUAUGGACCCGGAGAUAUUUUAUUACAGAGUUUUUAAUUAGAGAAAAAUUCAUGAAUACCAUAGAGAAAAUAUUUUAGAAUUUAAUGUUUCUUAUAUUUAUGUAAACUUAUGACUUCAUUUAUAUAGCUACUUACUUUUUCAUGUAUAUCCAGGCUAUAAAUAUCCUUUCAAAUCCGUUCAUGUUCUUAUAUCUGAUUUUAGUCUUUCAAAUGAAUGUGCGGUAAGGCUUGUAUGUAUAAAUCUUAUGAACAAAUAUAGGGCUUUUGUAAAUUGUGCAUUUUAUUGUAAUUAUCAUUGUUUAAUUUUUUAAUAAUAAACCGCCACAGAGGAAAGGAUUUUACUGCGUUUGUAAAAUCAAGACACAGUUGCACUAACCUUCACACGAUGUGACUCGGCUCUGCAACAGUCAUUUUGAAGUGAGCAAACUUAAUUUCAAGCAGUUGUUACAUUUUAAGGACUGACCUUCACUGUACUUUUUCUAGCAAGAACAGCUUUACUCUGCAGCGUGGAGACAUGAAUACCGGGUGUUAAGUGUCUGAUAAAAUCCGGACCGAAAGCGUUGUCAGAACCCUCUGCAAAGCUCUGUGGACCGCUUACCUCCUCCCCAGCCUGGUCUCCGGGGCCCGGCGGGGGCUGGGGAACGAGACCCGGUGGGCUGGGCCCUCGCCCGCCCCUUCCAGCACCUUCCUUCCAGCACCUUCCCAGACCUUCCCGCGCUCCUCCUGCGGGCAGGCGGGGUCAGGCCACGGCAGACGCUCUGAGAGGACCAAUGGCGGAGCCCUUCGUGAAGCGAGAGACCCUGGAAAUAAUGCGACGCGACCCUAAUAAAGGCCUUAUUUUUCUUACGUAAAUCCUCUCUUUACAUCUGUUUGUAAACAGGUUUAAAGAAGGGACCUAGUCGUACAUUUUUAGAUUUUUGACGAUAUAGCCAUUUUGGAUUGUAUAAGUAGCAAAUGUAACUUUUAUCUUUUAAGUGACAUAUUAAAAGCCAGCAGGAACUGUGUUCAGAUCGCGGUGCAUUAUUUAUUAUGCAGCUGAUAGGGAGAGACACCUGUCUUCUUGCCUUUGGUUUCUGCUUUCAAUCUACUUGUACAAUUCCUUGUCUCCAUUCUGUUUUUCUAGUAAUCUUUUGGGAACUUGCUGAUUAUGUAACAAAGUAUAUGUACAGUCUACUUUUGAACUAUUUUUAUCACAGUGUUAUUUAUUGCUUUCUUUCAAUAAAGUACUGAAGCGUUU